ACUUAUAAGCUUAACAGACAAAUUAACCAGCCAAACUCAAUUACUCAUCACAACUUGUAAGUUUCUAUUUUAAGGUACAGGGAAUUCAAAGUAAUGCCUCAAAUCAUGUCAAUAGAAUAGUAUUUGAAACUAAAGAACUCAUUUAAGCAAAACAACACAGAACAUGAAGAUCAUCUUCAGGAAACAAAACAAUAGGCAUAGCUCACUUAACUUCAGAUUUCUAUUGUUAUCAACAAGCCAAACAAAGUCAAAGGUACAUGGUGUAGAACAAUGCUACCAGACAUGGUCAUGGGAUCUCAUGAACUCUUCAAAGGGCUUUUAAAGUCUAGAAUAUAACUUACAACCAUUUACAUGUAAUGACACAUAUACUUCCUUCCAUUAAUAUGGUCGUAGUCUUUUAGUUCGGGCGUCGCCAAGUGGACUUGCUUUUCCGAGUUAUCCAGGCUUGCGUAAGAUAACAGUCCUCGAGUGCGGAUGGUUGUGGCCUUUAAAAUUCGGGGGUUACCUAAUACGUAUUAUGCCCCCGAUGUUUGAUAGCUUGAACCAUUCAAGAUUGUUUUCGGACGACAGUCCUCGAGGGAGAGAGAGAUUGUUCGAUCUCAAGUUAAAGCGGCCCUUGGGCUCGUUACCUUUAUGGGAUCGGAAGCACAAAAUUUCUUAAGAAAUGUAAAUAAGAAAUAUUUAAAAGACAAGAUGAUUGCAAGGAAGAUACUUCUCUUUAUUCUAGUGCAAACCAGUUAUACAUGCAUACAUGCUUUAUGUUAGGGCUCGAGCAAUCUAUGCGGGCACGGUUCGUUUGAUCAUUUGGCCCUUACAAUAAAUCCUACCUAUCGAGACCCUUCCAUCACGAAGUAAUUUCCUUGCCUAAAGUCGAUAUUGGAGGGUAACGCCCCCUAGUAUUCGAGGUUGAUUAUAGGGAGAAGCCUCGGAUACUGUUGAUGCGAUCCUUAACACCGAUUCAUGGCCGGUCUUCUAUUCUAAGUUAGCACGAUCUACUGUUGCUCGUUAAAACCUUGCCGUAAAACCCAUUUGGGACAAAACCGGUUCAAGGGAAAAAGAGUGCAAUCCGUACUUUCAGACCUAAAACUUUGUACGGCUCCUUGUACGUCACCUGUAAAUGUUAGUUUGAAAUAUAAAUAAAAGGAAACGAAUGGGGUCUGUCACACCUCCUUUUUACCGGAAAAGGAUAGGGAAUUUUUCAAAUUAAAGUGACAAUAAUCGAAAUGGAAUUUUUUAUUAGAUUCAGAGUCCCCACUUGGGAUAAUUUAUGGUGUCCCAAGUCACCGAUUUAUUUUAAAUCCCAAAUCGAGAAAAUUGACUCUAUUUAUGGUCUUUGAAAAUAGAAGACCGUGUAAGAAAUUCUGUUAAUCCGGGAGAAGGUGUUAGGUAUUUUCGGGUUCCGUAGUUUUAGCACGGUCGCUUUAAUCAUACCUGGCUUAAUUAAUUUGUCUAAUUACUUAUUUUCGAACCUAUGUGCAUUUUAGCUCUUUUAAUUAAGAUAUUAUCCUAAAACGUGUCACACGUACGUGUACUCAUUCGGUUUGGCGCGUCAAGAAUCAUGUCACGCUUACGUGUAUACAAUUCACAACACUUAAUUAUUUAAGAAAAACUUGGUCAAAGUUACGCGAACGCAUAUCUUGAUUUAUUUUGGGAAAAAAAUCGAAAUUAUGUCACGCGAACGUGUACACAAUCGCGAUGAUAGAUUAAACCGCGCCUAAAUCAUUUCCUACAAAUAUUCAUUUUAAAAACGUACUCGUGUCACACGAACGUGUGCACAAUUAAUAGCAUUUUAUUACUAUUAAGAUUGUUUCGCCCAAAGUUGCGCGAACAAAUACUUCGACCUUAAUUUUGGAACCCGUAAUUAUAUCACGCAAAUGUCAAAAAUAUCCGAAAGAUUGCCUACCCAAGCGUGAUCGGCCUAAAAUAUAUUCGUAGCGAUUCAACCCAAAAGAAAGAAUAAGUAGUAAUGAAAUUAUCUUGAGUCUAAUCUCUUUUUAAUUUUAGUCCAAAAGCCCACUGCCCUCUUAAUUCCCAUUGAUUUCUAAGCCUAUUUUCUCAAUUCAACUAAUAGUUUGCUCAAUUGAAAUUAGAGCAAAUCCACAUACCCAUUUCUAGUCUUUGAAGAGAAUUUCAAACAAACCCAGCAUAAUAUUGCAAUCAGAUUCUCAUUCAAUAUACUAAUUCCAGAUGUCUAAUCAUAUAAGUACACGAAUGAAAAGAACAACAACAAAAUUUUUAUUCAAAUCCCAAACACACAAGGAAGAAUAUUGAAAAGUAAUUAGGAACAAGGUUUAGAAAUGGACCUCAAACAGAGUUGACGAACUCCGAAGCGAAACCGUGGACGAGCUGAUCUCACCAAACCGAGCUCGGACUCACCUCAACAACAUCACAGUCAAACUCCAUAUUUGGGAAUCACAGUCCAAAUCGGAAAGAAGAAACGCAGUCUAUAUUUUUUGGUUUGGAUUUAUUGGAAUUUUAAGAAGACAAAGUGUUGGAUUUGUGAAAUCUCAACGUGAGCUAAACAAAGAAUUAGAAGAAUUCAAUGUGAGCGAAACAUCUUCCAUUUCUUUUUAAGAACAUAUUUUAAAAUUUGUGAGCUCAAAGCUAUGAACCAAUAUGCACAAAUUUAUCAAUCAUUGCAGCUCAGUUAGGUCCUUCUCUUCAAGUGAUGUGUCGCUGCUUGUUGCUCUCUUUAUUUGUUAGGGAUUUUGGAAAUACAGUGAGUAAUGGAACUAAAAAAUAGGGAUUCAUUUACUAAAUUUUAACUUGGGGAAGAUAACUCAUUUUUGGGAGUGUUUCAAUUUUAAGAAUUGGUUAGGCAGAGGUCUGUGUCGCUGGUGUUUUGGGAGUUGCGGCUAGAAUGUUGAAGAGAGGUGGGGUGCGGCUGGGUUCUUUAGAAUUAGGAAGUUUGGCUGCUUUUUCAUGUCAAAAUUAGAGUGAGAACGAUGGAAAUUUUUUCAGGGGGUGGGCAGUCGUUCUUCAGUCUUAGCUCUA
rnacentral:lncRNA from 1 species